AUGCGUCCUUCACUCAUUCAGUGCUUUCCACACCCGUUCACCCGGCAAUGGCCGGCGACCAGCAACCCGGUCACGUGUGAGUGCCGGCAGCUUUAUGCGCUAGUGUCUGUGUGCUGCUGCGUGCCGAACACGCAUCUGCUCGUGCUCCACGAAUCGGCUCACCUCAACACAAACCUCAUCACAUCGAUGCCGAAGGGCCCCAAAUACGUAGACUUCGCCAUCACUCCGCGCACCACCCCAGAAGAUUUGUGCGGCUUUCUUGUGAGGGCCGAAAUGGCGGCAACGGGGCCUCCCUUCGCCGCGUCGGCUGGCAGCGGCGGUGUAGUUGGUGCGUCGACUUCAGAGGAAGUCUCCGCCUCCCACGCGAGCCCGGGGGAGAGCCUUCACGAGGGGUUUGCUCCGACAGCCGCGCCCACCAGCGCCUCGCAAACCCGGAACCAGUGGUCGCCGCUGUCGCGCAGCACGGUUGCACAGCGGCAUGCAGUCGUAGUCUGCCUGCACGGCAUUGCCGACGCAUCCGCAGCAGUACAGUCGGCCCUCAUGGACCUACUAAUGUUUGAGCAGGUGCGAAACCAUCAUCGUGCCGUUCGAGUCCCGACCCUGCGCAUCGUGGCCUUCUGCAGCAGUCGCAACUACGCGAUUUUGCUGCCCGAGCCGCUGCGAGCGCUCUUCACACUCUCCACAUACGUCUCCACGCUCGCUAGCGAUAGUGCCGUAGUGCUGCAAACGGCGACUGCGACCUCUUCAAGCAUUGUGAACAAGCGCUUCAUGCUGGAGGUCAUGACGGCGUCCGAUGGGCAGUCGUUGCUGGAGACCGUCACACUGUCAGGUACUGUCACGCGCUACUUGCGGCACCUGCUACUGGUAGUCCGUGGUAGCUUUGCAGCGGGGAUGUCGCCCGGCGCACUUGCACUUCGUCGCAUUCCACGAUGGAUGACUAUCUUGAAGGCGCUGGCUAUCCUGUUCAUGCCCGAUGAGGAGCUGCUACGCUCUCGAGUGCAGCAGACCCGCUCAACCUUGCUGCAGUCUUACUCGAGGGCGACUUCGUCGACGACUUUCGAGCGAACGAUGAACUGUGCAACGCACCGGACGGCGACGCCGGUGAGCCGCUCGAUGUCACCCGAGACACAGGCGGCGCAUCAGCAACCGAGAGGGUUGCAGUCUGUUGGGUCCGACGAACGGCGGCAGGCUGACCACACUACGGCCGCUACAGUGGAGGGCAGCGAGAACUCCAAGAGCGGCGGCGGCGACAGUGCGGAGAUCAAAUCUUUCAGCCAUGUUGUGGUUUCGCCGUCGGAUAUAGCGUGCGUGCUGCACUGCUUUGUGGGUCAUUUGAUGACGAUGCCGCGGGAGAUGGUGCCUAGUGAGGAGAUCUUGUCUGCCACCAGCACCAUGAUGGGCAACGCUGCCGGCUCUGGUAGCCUCGUGGAGGCGUACGGGAGGAUGCUGAACGCGCAUCGGUAUGGUAAGGCGGGGCUCUCACUCCAAGAUCCGGCCAUGUGGGACGCGGUGGCGGCUAGCUGGACUCUCCGCAACCUGCACGGCAUCGCAAACCCCACCACCGAGUCGGUCAACGGCCUCGACAGCUCCCUGAUCAGUAACGGCACAUAUCAAAACUACAGCACGACCCUGCGCUCGCUGGAGAGCGUGGAGGCUACAGGCGAGGCGGACCCGGGUCUACGCCGCAGUCACGGGACGCGAUACGGCGGCAAUCCGGAGCAGGAUGCAUUAGCAGCCUCCUCGCACGCACCCCACGAGCAGUACUUCCAAACACUGAACAACCGGCCGUUCUUCUCAGUUGCGGAGGCGUGGAGGUGGGCUGCCACAAACAAGUUCGGCAUCCUCGACGUGGCCUCCACCCCAAUGCUAAAUUACUGGGAGGUGCGAGAAGCGAUGCGGGCGACGCUUCUGUGUCGCAGCGCUCCCGCCCCCGGGUAGCAGAGCGCGGUGUUGGUUUUGUCUGCUCCGCACGCAUGCCUUUUCUGCUGUGUGAACGACUGCGUCUCCACUGCGUGUCAUCUUGUAUUAUUAGCAACAUCACUG
rnacentral:misc_RNA from 1 species